rnacentral:lncRNA from 12 species
CUCUCACCGAGACCCCACGGCCCCCAAAUAGAGACACACACCGCGCUCUCUCUCUCUCUCUCUCAUGAAUAAAUAAAUAAAAUGUUAAAAAAAUAAAAUAAGAUUUUAUUUAUUUAUUCAUGAGAGACACACGCAGAGAGAACCCGAUGUGGGACUCGAUUCCAGGACCCUGGGGUCACGGCCUGAGACAAAGCUUGAUGCUCAACCACUGAGCCACCCAGGCGUCUGAGUGGGAAAAUUAAAAUCUACUUUGGAGGUAGCGCAUGCAGAUAGGGCUCGUUCAUGGUUUGGACAAGAGCUGGGAGGAGAAGAGAAGAAUCAAGGAUGACGCUUAGGAACUGAGUUCUAAACCACCGUGUGACUGAUGCAGUGGAUUUACAGAUCUCUUCCGGGAUGUUCGGAACACCUACUGAACAGGUAAGUGACGGAGUGGAGCAGCAGUACAUAAAGGGGUUUGGAGGUCAGCAGUGGAUAGGAGGAGAGUCAGGAGCCUAAGAAUAGUACCUGAUUCCACACAGUGGUAGCUGAAUAAUGACUCCCCCCCCCAAUAUGUCCAUGUCCCAAUCGCUCGAAUCCUACAGCAUCUAUUGUGCAUGAAGACACUUAAAAUCUCUUUUGUAGGUCUCACGUGACACCCAUGAUAGGUAUUACUAUUUUCCACUUAAGGGAUGCGGAACCUGAGGCUCGGAGAAGUGGAACGCCUCGUUCCAGGUCCCCAAACUGGGAAACACCGGUCUCCCUUUCAAGCGCCUCGCAGAACUUCCGCAGAGAUGGGCCGCGGUAGCGAGACAGCAAGCUGCAAAGGCUGGACCCGGGAUGGGAGCCGCGGCAGGUCGGGGGCGCGGGCCCCGGGGAGCCACAGUGACCCCGCACCGCUAAGGUCAUUGAAGGAAACCGCACGGAUCACAGCGCAGACGGCGUCUCAACGCCCUCGAAGACGCCUGCGCGAGGGAUUCUCUCCGGUCUCCAUCUCCGGGCUGCACAGUCGCAGGCAGCGGCCUGAGCCCAGCGGGUAGGGACCGCCUGCCGGCUCGGCCCGGCUGCCAGGUGGGCGAUAGGUCGUUCCAGGCGAAGGGCGAGGAGGCCCCGGAGAACUACAACUCCCAGGAGCCCUCGGGCUGGCCCCGGUGCACGCUGGGAGCAGCCCGUGCCCGCAGCCGCGGCCCGCUGCUCUUAGAGGCCGCUCGCGACAGCUAAGCAGCGCGCAUGCCCGGUCACGUCCCACCGCGUUCCGCCUUCCUGCCUGCGGGCGGCUGCUUUCCGGCCUCGCCCUGGCGCGCUCUCCCCGCCCCGCGUCCGCCCCCUUGGCGGGGACUCCGGAGGGGGCGGGGCACGUGGCAAGCGCGUUCCCGGGGGUGUUUGCCGCGCGCUCCCGGGACAGCAAAAGGGCGGGGACUGAGCCCCUGACGUGGAAGGUGACGAGUCGCGGAGCCCGCAGGUAACGGACAGCGCAUGCGUCCCGGGGGCGGGCCUGACGGCGACGGGGCCGCGGGGGGCGGGGCUAGCGGGCCGGCGCACGCGCGUGGGGCCCCCCCGCCCCGCCCCGCCUCCUGCCCGGGGUUCCGCUCCUCCCCCACCGCU